rnacentral:rRNA from 1 species
UACGUAGGGUGCAAGCGUUAAUCGGAAUUACUGGGCGUAAAGCGUGCGCAGGCGGUUGUGCAAGACAGAUGUGAAAUCCCCAGGCUUAACCUGGGAACUGCGUGUGAUACUGGAUGGCUUGAAUUCGGGAGAGGGAUGCAGAAUUCCAGGUGUAGCGGUGAAAUGCGUAGAUAUCUGGAGGAAUACCGGUGGCGAAGGCGGCAUCCUGGACCGACAUUGACGCUGAGGAGCGAAAGCUAGGGGAGCAAACGGG